rnacentral:rRNA from 1 species
AUGAACGCUGGCGGCGUGCCUAAUACAUGCAAGUCGAGCGAACGGACGAGAAGCUUGCUUCUCUGAUGUUAGCGGCGGACGGGUGAGUAACACGUGGAUAACCUACCUAUAAGACUGGGAUAACUUCGGGAAACCGGAGCUAAUACCGGAUGAUAUUUUGAACCGCAUGGUUCAAAAGUGAAAGACGGUCUUGCUGUCACUUAUAGAUGGAUCCGCGCUGCAUUAGCUAGUUGGUAAGGUAACGGCUUACCAAGGCAACGAUGCAUAGCCGACCUGAGAGGGUGAUCGGCCACACUGGAACUGAGACACGGUCCAGACUCAUACGGGAGGCAGCAGUAGGGAAUCUUCCGCAAUGGGCGAAAGCCUGACGGAGCAACGCCGCGUGAGUGAUGAAGGUCUUCGGAUCGUAAAACUCUGUUAUUAGGGAAGAACAUAUGUGUAAGUAACUGUGCACAUCUUGACGGUACCUAAUCAGAAAGCCACGGCUAACUACGUG